rnacentral:misc_RNA from 1 species
UCUUCCAUGGCUUCUGUGUCGCCUGGAUACGGAAAUUCUCGCCUCUCAUGCAACUGAGCUAGCUCUUGCUCCUCCUUUGGCCUUGGAUUCAGCGUCCACCAACCAAGCGGCGUUGUAUCGCUGUAGAGGCACGCACCCCCGAAUAGCGUGUAGGUGCAGAGCAAAGCCUUGCCUACUUGCUUCCAGAAGUACCCAGUCUUCUUUUCCCAAUCCUGUUUUCCUCAGGUACCUGUAGUAAUUCAC